GAUGAAGAACGUAGCAAAAUGCGAUAAGUAAUGUGAAUUGCAGAAUUCAGUGAAUCAUCGAAUCUUUGAACGCACAUUGCGCCCGCCAGUAUUCUGGCGGGCAUGCCUGUUCGAGCGUCAUUUCAACCAUCAAGCCCCAGGCUUGUGUUGGGGACCUGCGGCUGCCGCAGGCCCUGCAAACCAGUGGCGGGCUCGCUAGUCACACCGAGCGUAGUAGCAUACACAUCGCUCAGGGCGUGCUGCGGGUUCCGGCCGUUAAACCCCUUUUUUACCCAAGGUUGACCUCGGAUCAGGUAGGAAGACCCGCUGAACUUAAGCAUAUCAAUAAGCGGAGGA
rnacentral:misc_RNA from 1 species